GCUUUUAUUUUGAAGGUCAAGGUGGGUCUGGGACAGGAAGUCAGCCAUUUUGUUGGGAUUGUUUUGCUCAGUCACACAUGAGGAGGUGAAUCUAUCACAAUCCGCCUUUUGUUUAUGCCAUCGACAUCACCGUCUUUUACUCCAUGUCAUACGAGUACUUGGGUCAC